AUAGCUGGAGUAGUUGUGCAUUGGGCUUCAAUUGAGCAUAUUGGUUGUAGCCUCUAUAGAGAGGUUACACUCAUGGACACAAGGUACCUUUGAGUUAUGUUAGUAAUUUUGUUAGGUAAAAAAGGUGCAUCAAGAUAAAAAAAUGCUAUAACACAAUAUGCAGAAAAAUAACUAUAAGUUUUCUUUUUUUAAAGGUGCAACUUGAUUGUUGUUGGUGUUUGGUCCCACCAUUUGACCCGACAUGCGCGUAGCUGGUCAUUGGCUAAUGCUAACAAUGACAUAGUCUUAUUAACUAUGCUUCAAAAUAACAAGAGACACGGGUGCUUGGAGACUUCAGAGAAUACAACUUUGAAAUUUAACCCAAGUCAUUGUGCUACACGUACACUGCAGAGCGUGCGAGGAUCGGUGAUCACAGGAUCUAUGGACCUCCGUUUCGUUAACAGAUUUCUUGAGAAUAGAUGGGCGUACCUAGCAACCGUGGUUUGAGUGUGAUGGCUAUAAGUACUAAUAGUUCUUAGAGGACUACUAUGGCUAAACAUUAUUCACAUAUGUUAAUGUGUCUAUCGGUUCUAUAGUUUUUGUUUCAUUAUGAUGUUUGUGUUGUUUAAGUAAUUAUACCAAUGGAUACUGCCAGCUACAUUUCUUAUUAUGGUGUUUUUAUGUCUGUAAUAUAUACUACUACCUUUCUCAUU